AACGAACGCUGGCGGCGUGCCUAACACAUGCAAGUCGUGCGAGAAAGUUUCCUUCGGGAAGCGAGUAAAGCGGCGCACGGGUGAGUAACACGUAGGUAACCUACCUUUCAGUCCGGAAUAACCAGCUGAAAAGCUGGCUAAUGCCGGGUAAGACCACGACCUCUACGGGGGUCGCGGCCAAAGGCGGCCUCUUCAUGAAAGCUGAUGCUGAGAGAUGGGCCUGCGCACCAUUAGCUAGUUGGUGAGGUAAUAGCUCACCAAGGCUUUGAUGGUUAGCUGGUCUGAGAGGAUGACCAGCCACACUGGGACUGAGACACGGCCCAGACUCCUAC
rnacentral:rRNA from 1 species